GUUGGUUUAGUUUAUAAAAAAUGUUGUUUUGUGGAGACAAAGAAAAUACUUAUGUUAGCUAACA
rnacentral:tRNA from 1 species